rnacentral:rRNA from 1 species
GACGAACGCUGGCGGCGUGCCUAAUACAUGCAAGUUGAGCGAUGAAGAUUGGUGCUUGCACCAAUUUGAAGAGCAGCGAACGGGUGAGUAACGCGUGGGGAAUCUGCCUUUGAGCGGGGGACAACAUUUGGAAACGAAUGCUAAUACCGCAUAACAACUUUAAACAUAAGUUUUAAGUUUGAAAGAUGCACUUGCAUCACUCAAAGAAGAUCCCGCGUUGUAUUAGCUAGUUGGUGAGGUAAAGGCCCACCAAGGCGAUGGUACAUAGCCGACCUGAGAGGGUGAUCGGCCACAUUGGGACUGAGACACGGCCCAAACUCCUACGGGAGGCAGCAGUAGGGAAUCUUCGGCAAUGGACGAAAGGCUGACCGAGCAACGCCGCGUGAGUGAAGAAGGUUUUCGGAUCGUAAAACUCUGUUGGUAGAGAAGAACGUUGGUGAGAGUGGAAAGCUCAUCAAGUGACGGUAACUACCCAGAAAGGGACGGCUAACUACGUG